AACGAACGCUGGCGGCAUGCCUAACACAUGCAAGUCGAACGAGACCUUCGGGUCUAGUGGCGCACGGGUGCGUAACGCGUGGGAACCUACCCUUAGGUUCGGAAUAACUCCCCGAAAGGGGUGCUAAUACCGGAUAAUGUCUUCGGACCAAAGAUUUAUCGCCUUUGGAUGGGCCCGCGUUGGAUUAGCUAGUUGGUAGGGUAAAAGCCUACCAAGGCGACGAUCCAUAGCUGGUCUGAGAGGAUGAUCAGCCACACUGGGACUGAGACACGGCCCAGACUCCUACGGGAGGCAGCAGUGGGGAAUAUUGGACAAUGGGCGAAAGCCUGAGCCAGCAAUGCCGCGUGAGUGAUGAAGGCCUUAGGGUUGUAAAGCUCUUUUACCCGGGAUGAUAAUGACAGUACCGGGAGAAUAAGCUCCGGCUAACUCCGUG
rnacentral:rRNA from 1 species